GACGUAUCCUGUAAUGGGGGAUAACGUAGCGAAAGUUACGCUAAUACCGCAUACGCUCGAGAGAGGAAAGUGGGGGAUCGCAAGACUCACGUUACAGGAGCGGCCGAUGUCCGAUUAGCUAGUUGGUGGGGUCAAAUGGCCUACCAAGGCGACGAUCGGUAGCUGGUCUGAGAGGAUGAUCAGCCACACUGGGACUGAGACACGGCCCAGACUCCUACGGGAGGCAGCAGUGGGGAAUUUUGGACAAUGGGCGAAAGCCUGAUCCAGCCAUGCCGCGUGCGGGAAGAAGGCCUUCGGGUUGUAAACCGCUUUAGUCCGGGAAAAAGGGGUGCGAGGAUAAUACCCUCGUGCUCUGUGAUGGUCACUUGGAAGAAUAAGCACCGGCUAACUACCGUGCCAGCAGCCGCGGUAACUACGUAGCGGUGCGAGCCGUCUAAUCGGGAAAUACCUUGGGCCGUCACAAAGCGUUGCCGGCCACAGGGCCGGGGGACCUCGCGCAACAGGCACAACGGGCCAGGUCGGAAAAAGGCCCCCACCGGGGACUUUCACAAGCCUUGGGGGAAACUCUGGCNAAAUNCGGGUCGAACUUCGGCANCAUGG
rnacentral:rRNA from 1 species